UACGUAGGGUCCGAGCGUUUGUCCGGAAUUACUGGGCGUAAAGAGCUCGUAGGUGGUUUGUCGCGUUGUUCGUGAAAACUCACAGCUCAACUGUGGGCGUGCGGGCGAUACGGGCAGACUUGAGUACUGCAGGGGAGACUGGAAUUCCUGGUGUAGCGGUGAAAUGCGCAGAUAUCAGGAGGAACACCGGUGGCGAAGGCGGGGUCUCUGGGCCAAAACUGACGCUGAGGAGCGAAAGCAUGGGGAGCGAACAGG
rnacentral:rRNA from 1 species